CGUAUCCAUGUUGUGCCGCCGACAGCAAACAUUCUGUGUUGUGCUAUUAGCUCACCUUGAGCUGAAUUCAUUUGACAUCACGCAGUUUGUAACUCCUUGAUUGUUGUAGCCUAUUUACACAAAACCUAAAUGGUCGUAUUGUUAGUUUAAUAACUGCAUUGUGAUAUAGGCUAUAACAUGGAUUAGGCUUCAUCAAAAUAUUGUGAAUUAAAGCUCAUGCAUGCAUGUUGUAUGCAAAACGUUCAAACUUUUUUUGUCUUUCUUUUCCUCUUUGCUUUGGGUUGGGUAGAAUUGUACGGUAGGUUCAGCCAUUCCUUGAUCGACCUGACACCAGCAUUAGGCCUACUCGAUGUGUAUGAAGCAAGCUGCCUCUGCAUCAAGUGAGGGAAGAAGCCGCCACUGAAAAGCUUUUUGGACUGUCAUUUGAAGGACACAAAUGAAAGGACAGGAAUCCUGCUCUGCGGCGUUGGCCUCACUAUUUAUUCAAGAAGCCCUUGGACACCACCAGAAUGUAUGAAAAUUGUAAACAGUAGGCACAGUCAUUCCUUGAUCGACCUGGCAUCAACAUCGCUCGAUGUGUAUGAAGCUGCAAGUGAGAGAAGAAGCCGCCACUGAACACCUUUUUGGACUGUCAUGACUCAAAUGAAAGGACAGGACUUCUACUCUGCUCGGUCGGCCUCACUACAUAUUCAAGAAGCCCUCGGACGUCAUCAGAAUGUAUUAAUGUGAAGAGGCAACAAGGGAGAGAUGAACGCUAUCAAAAAUGUGGAGAUGGAUCUGGCAGCCGACCGCUUUGGCACACACCCAACAAGAAACAAAACAAUAAAGAAUACUAAAAUGCAUAA